GGUCUUGUAGUGAAAUUCAUGGUGAGUUGCAAGCUCAUUGAUGUGUGCUAAUUGUACGCCAAGGCCU
rnacentral:tRNA from 1 species